GACGAACGCUGGCGGCGUGCCUAAUACAUGCAAGUCGAACGCAGUGGGGACGGGUGAGUAACACGUGGGUAACCUCCAAUCAGAGGGGGUAACACUUGGCAACAGGUGCUAAACCGAUAUUGAUGGGUGGACCCGGGGUGCAUUAGCUAGUGGGUGGGGUAACGGCUCACCACGGCCACGAUGCAUAGCAGCCCUGAGAGGGUGAGCGGCCACACGGGGACUGAGACACGUCCCAGACUCCUACGGGAGGCAGCAGUAGGGAAUCUUCGGCAAUGGACGAAAGUCUGACCGAGCAACGCCGCGUGAGUGAAGAAGGUUUUCGGAUCGUAAAACUCUGUUGUUAGAGAAGCGGUAUCUAACCAGAAAGCCACGGCUAACUACGUGCCAGCCGCCGCGGUAAUUC
rnacentral:rRNA from 1 species